AAAAAAACUGUUUUUGAGAAAAAAUACUGUUUUCCCCUCCAUGAGCUGGGGCUGGCCAUGCCUAGAGAGAGACAGUGCUAAAACAGCUCAAGUGAGAGCUGUCUGCGACUGACAGUGGACGCUGGAGCAAGUGGGCCAUCUUCAGAGGCAAAACCAUUCAGUGUUCUGGGUGAGUCAGUUUGACACAGCACAAAACCCCUUCAGGAGUAGGAGGGAUAUACAUUCAUUCAGACCAGUUUAGUCUCAUUCUCACGUUGAACGCAACACGUUGGGAGAGAAGACAGGGGAUUAGUGUUACCGGCUAGGCUAACUUUUGUUACUGUGUGUCUAAUGAGCAAGGUUAGCUUAGCUGCCCGUAACACUGACAAAAUCAAUAACUCUGCACAUUAACUGAUUAUCAGGAUGC